CUGGAGAUUUGUCACUAUGUGAAGGGGAACCAGAAUAUGAAGGUGUUGAGAAGUCAAUCACACGAGCAGGAUUCUGCUCCGGCUUCCUGGUUAAAGCUACAUCAAUCCAUGCAGACUGAUCCGUCACACCGCUCACAUCUACGCUGUUCCUUCUGGGAUGUGUUGCGCUGUGUUGGACCAGUUUGCCAGUGAUUGCGGCGAUACUUCUGUACCACAGAUCUCGCCGUAUCAGUCAAGUGUUGGCGCCGGUAUGCUUCACCAAUCUGGUUAAGCAUGCUGGGAUAGACAUCCAAAAGAGUGCUGCCAUUGCUGCUCAAAGAUUUCUCCAGUUCCUCAUCCUCUUCCUUAGGCAAAGAUAACUCACUCCACAAAGACCCAGGAGAUGUGGUGUUUAAAUUCACUGAUUGCUGGAAUGAUUCAGCUCCGUGCCCUAGAUGAUGAUCACAGAAGUAAACUUCAAAAUUGCAGAUGUGUUUUCUUACUUACAUUUAUUACUUAAGUGUAGCAGUAUUAUUUAA
rnacentral:lncRNA from 1 species